rnacentral:rRNA from 1 species
UGCCGGCGAGUGGCGAACGGGUGAGUAACAUAUUGGAAUGUACCGAGUAGUGGGGGAUAACCAAUCGAAAGAUUGGCUAAUACCGCAUACGUCCUGAGGGGGAAAGCAGGGGAUCUUCGGACCUUGCGCUAUUUGAGCAGCCAAUAUCUGAUUAGCUAGUUGGUGGGGUAAAGGCCCACCAAGGCGACGAUCAGUAGCGGGUCUGAGAGGAUGAUCCGCCACACUGGGACUGAGACACGGCCCAGACUCC